GGCGCACGGGUGAGUAACACGUGGGUAAUCUACCUUUCGGCGGGGGACAACAACUCGAAAGGGUUGCUAAUACCGCAUACGUCCACGCAAGUGGGGAAAGGCGGCGCAAGCUGUCACCGAAAGAUGAGCCCGCGGCCCAUCAGCUAGUUGGUGAGGUAACGGCCCACCAAGGCUCCGACGGGUAGCUGGUCUGAGAGGAUGGCCAGCCACACUGGAACUGAGACACGGUCCAGACUCCUACGGGAGGCAGCAGUGGGGAAUAUUGCGCAAUGGGCGAAAGCCUGACGCAGCGACGCCGCGUGGGUGAUGAAGGCCUUCGGGUCGUAAAGCCUUGUUGGAGAGGGACGAACAACUCUGGAGAAUAAUACCUCCAGGGCCUGACGGUACCUCUUCAGAAAGCACCGGCUAACUCCGUGCCAGCAGCCGCGGUAAUACGGAGGGUGCGAACGUUGUUCGGAAUUACUGGGCGUAAAGCGCGUGUAGGCGGCUUGGCAAGUCAGAUGUGAAAUCCCUCGGCUUAACCGAGGAAGUGCAUUUGAAACUGCCAGGAUAGAGUACGGGA
rnacentral:rRNA from 1 species